AACGAACGCUGGCGGCAUGCCUAACACAUGCAAGUCGAACGCGUGUAGCAAUACACGAGUGGCGGACGGGUGAGUAACGCGUGGGAACCUGCCCAGUGGUAGGGAAUAACUGCGGGAAACUGCAGCUAAUACCCUAUACGCCCUUUGGGGGAAAGAUUCAUCGCCAUUGGAGGGGCCCGCGUCGGAUUAGCUAGUUGGCGGGGUAAUGGCCCACCAAGGCAACGAUCCGUAGCUGGUCNGAGAGGAUGAUCAGCCACACUGGGACUGAGAUACGGCCCAGACUCCUACGGGAGGCAGCAGUGGGGAAUAUUGGACAAUGGGGGAAACCCUGAUCCAGCAAUGCCGCGUGAGUGAAGAAGGCCUU
rnacentral:rRNA from 1 species